AGAGAGGAGAUUGCGCCGUGCAGCCGUGGAGCCCGUCACACAUGUCGCCACCGUCGGAAGCAGAACCACGAAGGGGAGAGAAAGAACGACGUUGGGAGGAAACUGUGAGCUGCAAGCCGCUGACCGAGAAGAAGCUCUGCCUUUGUCACCAUGUUGGAGUCGUCGCUGCCAACGCCGCGCACCGCCGUUAGCGCUGCCGUUGAAGGGAGGCGCCACUGAAAUACCCAACAGCAGCUUCCCCUGCGUUCCCAAUUCCAUUCUUGAAACUUCGUCCCUGUCGUUCAUGCCCCUUUGCUGCACCUGUUUCUCUACUGCUAUUAUUUGGAGUAUUGGCGUUGAUGCUAUUAUGAAUCUGUUAGAGUUGCUAUUGGGCUGUGAUUGCUCUUAAUUUCAUCCAAUUUGAAUCCUUUGUUUGGUUACAACCACGGUCACUGCCGUGAAGAUUAACAAUGCUGCUGUUCCGGUUGCUGCCUUUGCCAUUCCGGUUGCAUGACAGUCACCGCUCUUGCCAUGAAACUAAAAGGAAAGGGAAUUGUUACAUUAAAUUAUGCAAUUGCGACAUCGAGUGACACAGGUUUGAAGACGCAAUUUGAAGCUGCGAGCGAUUAGUAGGUUUUCUUUAUUGUUUUAAUUACUUUCAUAGAGUCCCCUCGCUCUUGUCCUUUGAGGUUUUAUUUUAACAGAGGGGUAGGUGUUGUAUUUGGGUUUAUAUGACUUCUUAUGUAUAAGAAUUACUAUUAAUAAUACUUAUGUGAUUGUUAUUAUUAUUUGCAA